rnacentral:tRNA from 1 species
GAGGUUGUGGCUCAGCGGUGGAGCACUUGCCUAGCAUGCGUGAGGCACUGGGUUUGAUCCUCAGCACCACA